GACGAACGCUGGCGGCGUGCUUAACACAUGCAAGUCGAACGAUGAAGCUGGAGCUUGCUCCAGCGGAUUAGUGGCGAACGGGUGAGUAAUGCAUCGGAACGUACCCAGUCGUGGGGGAUAACGUAGCGAAAGUUACGCUAAUACCGCAUACGAUCUGAGGAUGAAAGCGGGGGACCUUCGGGCCUCGCGCGAUUGGAGCGGCCGAUGUCGGAUUAGCUAGUUGGUGAGGUAAAGGCUCACCAAGGCGACGAUCCGUAGCUGGUCUGAGAGGACGACCAGCCACACUGGGACUGAGACACGGCCCAGACUCCUACGGGAGGCAGCAGUGGGGAAUUUUGGACAAUGGGCGAAAGCCUGAUCCAGCCAUGCCGCGUGAGUGAAGAAGGCCUUCGGGUUGUAAAGCUCUUUCAGACGGAAAGAAAUCUCUCGGGUGAAUAUCCCGGGAGGAUGACGGUACCGUAAGAAGAAGCACCGGCUAACUACGUGCCAGCCGCCGCUGUAA
rnacentral:rRNA from 1 species